UUCAUUUCAUUUCAUUUCAAAUUUCAAAAAACAACUUCCCUUCGCAGCUUCUCUCUCAUUUCUAAAUUUCUUCAUCUUUCUUCUCAACGGCAACUAUCUCCCUCCUCUUCCCCCUCUCUCCGCCUCCCCUUCUCUCUCGAUCUCUUGUCUCCUUCGUCUUCCUCAGAAUCUUCACUCUUCCUUUCUCUCAAUUUCUAUUCUCUAAAAUGAAGCAUCCACCCAAGAAACCCUAUCUUGCUAAAUACCCAUCUCGCCGAUCCACUGCCAUUUUCUAUUCCAUGCGCUAACGGCGCCGGAAUCAAGGGCGGAAGACCCCUCGGAAGCCUAUGUCGUCUUCCAAAGAAAAUGCUUCACCGUCAGAUCCCAAAUUCCCAACUCCAUGGUUCCCGAUUCCAAACCCUCGCCGACUAAGUUGAAGAGCCUGCUCCAUCUUCUAACCCACUUAAGCGGAAGCUCAGUAUGGAGACCGUUCCUGAGAAUUCCAUCCCUGGGUUGUCUGAUUCUGUUGUUAAGAUUAGAGAAGAUGUAAAAUCUGGUGUAGAAAAUUUAACAGAGGAGUGUGUAUCCACAAUGGCAGCCGUUACUCGGCUUCUAAUGAAGUCGAUUAUGGUGGCUCACUUUGGAAACUUGUUACAUAGCUACUGCCAAAAGCUUUAAAUUGCCUUCCGGAUGCACCUCAAAAUCAGCUUCAUUCUUUGUGUUUUCUAAUUUCUAGCUCACUCAAUUCAGCCAUGGAUGUACGGAGAUAUUCCAAAUUUUAUAAUGCAAAACCUGAUGAAGCCGAUGAUGGUGUUUGCACAAGAGCUUGGAGAUUCUUUUUAUCUUACUUCACAAUUGACGUUCUUUCAGUUCUUCCACUCCCCCAGCCAUGCAGGGUUUACAGAAAGAUUUGAACUUUUCAUUUGUGGUCGUGAGCUGGCCAAUGCAUUUUUCGAAUUGAUCGAUCGUAUUUAUCAGAGGAUGAUUAGAAGACCAGAUCAGGCAACACAAUGAGAAGCAUGGCUCAGCUGUUUCUUAUGUAUCUCGUUUCUUAUGUAAUGACUCUUUGGACUUCAAUUGCCAAAAAGAUGAGGAUGAUUCUUAUGAAGUGACACUUGAUGAUGAUUUUCUUACUGCUUUGGAAUAUGGAAUGCCACCAGCUUCUGGACUGGAAUAAAGGAAAAAAUGGAGUCUAAUCGAAUUUGGAACCUUUGCAAGCAAGGGGAAGUUUUCUGUUCCCUAUCUCUUUUUUCGAUCCUUACAAUCUUGCUUAAAAUGCUUUGAAGACAAAUUAAAGUUUUAAGUGGGGGGUAGGGUUGUAGCUUUGCAUGUUCUAUGUCCUUUGGGAAAUUUUCAUUUUGCCAGAAAUGUUCAAAUUUUAAACUUUUUCAAUGUCUUUAUUCUUAAAAUAAAUACCAUGUCUAAUUUGCUUUCUAGUUUAGACAAGCAUGUCUGCCUAACCCUUGAGCAUGGAGCUCGGGUUUGUGAUUGUGUUUGUCAUUUGAAUAUCUUAAAUAUGUUGAAAAUGCAUUCUUUGAUAGCAUAGAAAUGCGUAGAAGACAUGCUAUUCAUUUUCUAAAUAUUGUAAAUACUGUACAUACUUAAUAAUAUGUGUUGAAAACAUGUGCUGUUGAAAACAUGGCCUAACCAAAACCAGAUCUGCCUAGCCCUUAGAGUCCAGCCGGUUAGGUCAAGUAGAAUGCGUUGAGCUCCCUCAGUAUCAGAGCUUGUGUGGGGAACUCUUCACUUUUGGCCUAACCAAAACCAGACCUUCCUAGCCUUUAAAACCCAACCGGUUAGGUGAAGUAGAAUGCGUUGAGCUCCCUCAGUAUCAGAGCUUGUGUGGGGAACUCUUCACUUUUCGCCUAACCAAAACCAGACCUGCCUAGCCCUUAGAGUCCAGCCAGUUAGGUCAAGUAGAAUGCGUUGAGCUCCCUCAGUAUCAGAGCUUGUGUGGGGAACUCUUCACUUUUGGCCUAACCAAAACCAGACCUGCCUAGCCCUUAGAGUCCAGCCGGUUAGGUCAAGUAGAAUGCGUUGAGCUCCCUCAGUAUCAGAGCUUGUGUGGGGAACUCUUCACUUUUGGCCUAACCAAAACCAGACCUGCCUAGCCCUUACAGUCGAGCCGGUUAGGUCAAGUAGAAUGCGUUGAGCUCCCUCAGUAUCAGAGCUUGUGUGGGGAACUCUUCACUUUUCGCCUAACCAAAACCAGACCUACCUAGCCCUUAAAGUCCAGCCGGUUAGGUCAAGUAGAAUGCGUUGAGCUCCCUCAGUAUCAGAGCUUGUGUGGGGAACUCUUCACUUUUGGCCUAACCAAAACCAGACCUUUCUAGCCUUUAAAACCCAACCAGUUAGGUGAAGUAGAAUGCGUUGAGCUCCCUCAGUAUCAGAGCUUGUGUGGGGAACUCUUCACUUUUCACCUAACCAAAACCAGACCUGCCUAGCCCUUAGAGUCCAGCCGGUUAGGUCAAGUAGAAUGCGUUGAGCUCCCUCAGUAUCAGAGCUUGUGUGGGGAACUCUUCACUUUUGGCCUAACCAAAACCAGACCUUCCUAGCCUUUAAAACCCAACCGGUUAGGUGAAGUAGAAUGCGUUGAGCUCCCUCAGUAUCAGAGCUUGUGUGGGGAACUCUUCACUUUUCGCCUAACCAAAACCAGACCUACCUAGCCCUUAAAGUCCAGCCGGUUAGGUCAAGUAGAAUGCGUUGAGCUCCCUCAGUAUCAGAGCUUGUGUGGGGAACUCUUCACUUUUGGCCUAACCAAAACCAGACCUUUCUAGCCUUUAAAACCCAACCAGUUAGGUGAAGUAGAAUGCGUUGAGCUCCCUCAGUAUCAGAGCUUGUGUGGGGAACUCUUCACUUUUCACCUAACCAAAACCAGACCUGCCUAGCCCUUAGAGUCCAGCCGGUUAGGUCAAGUAGAAUGCGUUGAGCUCCCUCAGUAUCAGAGCUUGUGUGGGGAACUCUUCACUUUUGGCCUAACCAAAACCAGACCUUCCUAGCCUUUAAAACCCAACCGGUUAGGUGAAGUAGAAUGCGUUGAGCUCCCUCAGUAUCAGAGCUUGUGUGGGGAACUCUUCACUUUUCGCCUAACCAAAACCAGACCUACCUAGCCCUUAAAGUCCAGCCGGUUAGGUCAAGUAGAAUGCGUUGAGCUCCCUCAGUAUCAGAGCUUGUGUGGGGAACUCUUCACUUUUGGCCUAACCAAAACCAGACCUACCUAGCACAUAAAGUCCAGCCGGUUAGGUCAAGUAGAAUGUGUUGAGCUCCCUCAGUAUCAGAGCUUGUGUGGGGAACUCUUCACUUUUGGCCUAACCAAAACCAGACCUUUCUAGCCUUUAAAACCCAACCAGUUAGGUGAAGUAGAAUGCGUUGAGCUCCCUCAGUAUCAGAGCUUGUGUGGGGAACUCUUCACUUUUCACCUAACCAAAACCAGACCUGCCUAGCCCUUAGAGUCCAGCCGGUUAGGUCAAGUAGAAUGCGUUGAGCUCCCUCAGUAUCAGAGCUUGUGUGGGGAACUCUUCACUUUUGGCCUAACCAAAACCAGACCUGCCUAGCCCUUACAGUCGAGCCGGUUAGGUCAAGUAGAAUGCGUUGAGCUCCCUCAGUAUCAGAGCUUGUGUGGGGAACUCUUCACUUUUGGCCUAACCAAAACCAGACCUACCUAGCCCUUAAAGUCCAGUCGGUUAGGUCAAGUAGAAUGCGUUGAGCUCCCUCAGUAUCAGAGCUUGUGUGGGGAACUCUUCACUUUUGGCCUAACCAAAACCAGACCUUUCUAGCCUUUAAAACCCAACCAGUUAGGUGAAGUAGAAUGCGUUGAGCUCCCUCAGUAUCAGAGCUUGUGUGGGGAACUCUUCACUUUUCACCUAACCAAAACCAGACCUGCCUAGCCCUUAGAGUCCAGCCGGUUAGGUCAAGUAGAAUGCGUUGAGCUCCCUCAGUAUCAGAGCUUGUGUGGGGAACUCUUCACUCUUGGCCUAACCAAAACCAGACCUUCCUAGCCUUUAAAACCCAACCGGUUAGGUGAAGUAGAAUGCGUUGAGCUCCCUCAGUAUCAGAGCUUGUGUGGGGAACUCUUCACUUUUCGCCUAACCAAAACCAGACUUGCCUAGCCCUUAGAGUC